rnacentral:lncRNA from 1 species
ACACAAUUGAGAACGUGCAUAGAAGGAAUAUAAAAAAUCCAAGUAUGUAAUUUCAUGUUAACGAGUGAGCAAUCUUAAACUCACCAAUGGUUGAUUCCAAACCACAACCACUGAUGGAGGAAGCACUCGCUUCGCUAGAGAAAGUUCAAACUCAACUCCUUCAACGAAUAUCAAAUCUAGAACAUUCCUAUCUCCCACAACAAAACGCUGACUCAGACACAAACUCAGAUACUGACACUGUAACUCGUCUUUCUUCCAUUUUGCGAACCAACAACGUUCACGACUUUUCCUUCAAAAGAGUCCCUUCUGAUUAUUACGAUUGGACCCUUGAAGCUCGUCGUGAUGCAUUGGAUGCUUCUUCCAUCUACCAUCUUUGUAAAAGCAUUGUUUUGGUUAAUACUCAAGCACCUUCUAAUGUGAUUGACUGCAGUGAUCGCAAAAAUUCUAAGUACUAUGUCGUCGUUGUUCAGUACACUGCUCGAUUCAAUGCUGAUGCUGUGAAGAACUUUUUGUAUUCACUCAACAAUGGAACUAUAGCAAAAAAGAAAUUCAACUGUAAGCUAUUUUAUCUUGUGCAAUGCUAUUUUGUCUUGUGCAUAUUUUUAUGUGUGGAUUUCAUAGGAGUUCGACAAUGGAGCGCACCUUGUAGAGAUUGAAUGGGAUACUACUGGACAUUGUGGUAUUGAAAGGAACAUGAUGAUUGUGCACCUUUUCCAACCUAAAUCUAUGAUAAAUAUGACUUUAUGCACUGCCUCAAAAUUUAAAUACUGAUGUACUUAGUGGAAACAACAUUUGUAAAUCCUUCCCCCUAUCAAAAACUACACAGUAAAUAUUUGAGAAAUUAGUCUGCAUCCCAAGUUAUUGUAAUAUGACAUUCACAAUGAAGUUGAGUUAAGGUAGGAUUGUUCAUGAAGGUUUCCUUGCUGUAUAUAUAUCUUUGCUCGCAAUUUGAAGUCGUGAGCUUCUUUGUGCAUAAAGAAAAGUAUCACGGAUGAGCUUGGUCGGGAUACGCCAACCCUGGGUUGGCUUCCCUGCUGCCUUGUUUUCAAAGUUUACAGCGUACAUUUUUUCCCUAUAAUUGAAAUAAAACAACAUCUCUCCUUGUUUCUUACUGUCUCCCUAUGGAAACAACCUUCUCCUUCUCUUGUUAUCUCAAUUUCACAGCUCAAAGGUGUUGCAACCCCAAUUGUUUAUUUAGGUGUGAAAUUAGACUAAUUUAUACCAGAAUCAUUCCUUGUUUGGUGUUGAAACUGGAUGAAUGCGUUGAAAUGUUGGGUUAUGAGAGAGGACCAAGACCAGAGCAUAUCCUACACUUUUAAAAUGUGAAAGGAUGGAAUUGAAGGCAGUGAGUGGGAAUAGGUAGGUUUUGCAGAAAAUUAAAUUUGAAGUUUCCUUUAAGGUGCUGAUAGGAUGUGCGAGAAGGUGUAUUAGAGAAUGAAGAGGAGAGUAGCAGAAGAUCGUAAUACUCAGUUAGAAGAUUAGGAAGUAGGAACAGUUAGGAGAGUUGCAGUCCUAACUGUAUAAGUAACAAAUAGUGUGAGUUGGUUGGUUGGGAUUGGGAGAGAGGAGAUUCUCUCAAAUAAACCUCAGGAUAUUCAUUGUAAUUCUUCUGUUCUUCUGCCUACUUCUCCAUCAUUAUCACUUUGAUAAUGAUCUAGGAGGUUAGUGUUCAUCAAUAAAAUAUAGUUUUCCUUUCUAUUUCUAAAUCAAUUUUACCAGUUCCUAUCAACUGGUAUCAAAGCACCAAUCUUGACACUGGAACAAUUUGAGAGUUUAUGGUUAACACGAGAACAGAAGCAAGGAUCGAAACUCUGGAGCUAAUGAUGCAAUGUUGGAUUCGUGAGAAGGAUGAUCAAGAAAACACUAUGGCUGAAUGAUUCCAGAAAUCAGAAACCAUGAUCACUUACCUCAACGAUGGGGUGGGAUUUGGGAAUAUCAUUGCAAAGGGAAGAGCAAAUCGCAAACAGAGUCAAAAUCAAGAUCAUGAAUCCAGCAGACAACUACUGAAGCUAGUGGGGAAAAAAACAGAAAUUCAGUACCGCUUACCAUCCUCAAUUUAAUGGCCAAAGGGAGGUUGUAAGUCACUGUUUGGAGACCUACCUACACUACAUGAUUGAUUCUAAGCCCAAGCAAUGGCCAGAUUGGUUAAGUUGGGCAGAAUUCUGGUUUAUAUGGGCAAGACCCUCCAGUUUUAUUGAAGGAAACCACUAUUCCCUCAAAGUGAGGCUUGCUCCUGAAGAGACAUCAACGGAGUUAACUGGCUAUGGGCACAAUGCAGUGACUUGUAUUGGCAUGAAAACAGACAUUCCGGUGAUUUUGGAUGAAGCUAUUGUAAAACUAAAUCCAGAUUUCUUUUGGUUGGGUGGUGGUGAGGUUGAUCUGAAGCUAGGAAUUCGGACAUCCGAGUUAAUCAGAUUUGUCAACCCGUUCAUCGUCAACUGUAGCAGUAAUUGAUUCUCUUGAACAUGAUUAUUUUCUUUUGCCUGUUUCAGUUUUCCAUUGAUUUUAAUACAGUUUGAUUCACUUACCAUACAAAAUGAUAGCUUUUUCCUACCUACUUUUGUAGUCUGUUUAAGUGAUAUUCUUACAUUUUACAGAUUGUUACAGAUAUCUGAUUGCAUUAUGGAUUCAUCAUAUUUUAUGAUAAGUUUAACUUCUUUAAAAAAAA